rnacentral:lncRNA from 1 species
UCUUGUUUAGGAGUGUAGCAAACUUCUAGUUGUGUUUUCUUGUUGUAACUAGUGUUUAGCCUUCUUGCUAGAUUUGUGUAGGUGGCUUGCAUAGCUUAGUUAUGCUAGUGCUAAUAUAGCUUCGCCUUUUGUUUUACUAAUCAACUUGUCUAGUAUAGCUUAGUUGAAGUUUGUAUAGGCUAUUCACCCUCUCUAGUCAUUUGGACCUUUUAGGUGGCCUUAGAUUUCAGGCACAUUAUGUUAAAAAAAAAGAUUUUCAGGCACAUUGUGUCCACCAGCGAGCUAAAUUUUAAAUAUAUGUUCAUGAAAAUAUAAGAUUGAACUGUCCGAUUUCAGUUACCUCGUUCUACCGGCGAAAGAAUAGGAUGCUAAAUUUUAUAAUAUACCCAUGAAAAUAUGAGUGGGCUGAUUAAUUACCCGCUAAAUUAUAAUCCUAGUUCGCUUAACCAUAAACCAUUUCCUAGUAAAGACAGCCAGUCUCGGAAAAAAAAGAAAAAGAAAAAAGAAAAGCCAGCCUAGAGGAUCUUUCUGUUUGAGUUAUUUUAGUAGAUGCUGUGUAACACCUAAAAAUUUGAUUUCAAUUAAUAGGAAUUAAUUUGAUUUAAUUAAGUAUUUUUGUGAGCAUUUAAAUUUAAUACUUAAAUAAUUUUUUUAUUGAAAUUAAAAUUUUUUAUAAGUUUAGUAAACUUAAUUGUGCAUUCAUGCUGAGACAUAUUUUAUUUUGUGUUGAUUGCUUUUGGUUUGUAUUUAAUUGUCCUCAAAAUCCUUUGCAAAAAAGGCUUUGAAAAAAAAUAAAACAGAAAAGAAAUUAGAAAAAAGAAAAAGAAAAAGGGGAGACAGCUCCCUGGAACCAGGCCGGAGCCCAACUCGCUCGGCCCAGUCCCUCCCCUUUCUCCCGCGGCUCAGCUCCCCCUUUCCCCCUCACCUCGGCCCAACUGGCAGCCCCGCACGCGCGCCCUCCCCUCUCCCUUCUCUUUGUGUCCGUC